rnacentral:rRNA from 1 species
AGUGAACGCUGGCGGUAGGCCUAACACAUGCAAGUCGAACGGCAGCACAGUAAGAGCUUGCUCUUACGGGUGGCGAGUGGCGGACGGGUGAGGAAUACAUCGGAAUCUACUUUUUCGGGGGGGAUAACGUAGGGAAACUUACGCUAAUACCGCAUACGACCUACGGGUGAAAGCAGUGGAUCUUCGGACCUUGCGCGAUUGAAUGAGCCGAUGUCGGAUUAGCUAGUUGGCGGGGUAAAGGCCCACCAAGGCGACGAUCCGUAGCUGGUCUGAGAGGAUGAUCAGCCACACUGGAACUGAGACACGGUCCAGACUCCUACGGGAGGCAGCAGUGGGGAAUAUUGGACAAUGGGCGCAAGCCUGAUCCAGCCAUACCGCGUGAGUGAAGAAGGCCUUCGGGUUGUAAAGCCCUUUUGUUGGGAAAGAAAAGCAGCAGGUUAAUACCCCGCUGUUCUGACGGUACCCAAAGAAUAAGCACCGGCUAACUUCGUG